rnacentral:rRNA from 1 species
GACGAACGCUGGCGGCGUGCCUAAUACAUGCAAGUCGAGCGAGACUCUUCGGAGUCUAGCGGCGGACGGGUGAGUAACACGUGGGCAACCUGCCUGUAAGACUGGGAUAACACCGGGAAACCGGUGCUAAUACCGGAUAAUCCUUUUCCUCUCAUGAGGAAAAGCUGAAAGUCGGUUUCGGCUGACACUUACAGAUGGGCCCGCGGCGCAUUAGCUAGUUGGUGAGGUAACGGCUCACCAAGGCGACGAUGCGUAGCCGACCUGAGAGGGUGAUCGGCCACACUGGGACUGAGACACGGCCCAGACUCCUAUGGGAGGCAGCAGUAGGGAAUCUUCCACAAUGGACGAAAGUCUGAUGGAGCAACGCCGCGUGAGCGAUGAAGGCCUUCGGGUCGUAAAGCUCUGUUGUUAGGGAAGAACAAGUACCGGAGUAACUGCCGGUACCUUGACGGUACCUAACCAGAAAGCCACGGCUAACUACGUGCCAGCAGCCGCCGCUGUAA